UAUGCUUCAAAAAAAAUAAACUAAAUAUUUCACGCAUCGUUCUUAAAAUCGCAGAUCUAACUUCAUUCCUUAACAAAACCUGAAUCCUCCAUAUCGUUCCAUCGCUCUCCACUCUCAGAUCUCAAUCUCGUUGAACCUCCAUCUCCUUCGUUUUGGGCCAACACUCUCAUAUUUCAACACCGCUUCACCACCGCACAAGAUAGCCGUCGUUCUCCACUUCUCUGAGAUUGUUCAGAUUUUAUGAGCCCAUUACAUAUUUGUGCACAUCUUUGUUCCGCCGCGAACCAGCUAGUUGCGUCGUGCCGUUGUCCCGCCAUGAAUCGCGUCUUUCACUCUCCUCUACGCGCGACUCUCCUUCAAGGAACAUGGCUAUGACUAAGUGGUGUUCUUGGAUGUGAUUAUGUAUUAGUCAAAAAUGACAAUGUUAUAUCACUAUGACUGAUGCAAGGGAACUUUCAAUUUCAAGCCUGGACAUGUACAGGGACGAAAUUUGAACAACAAUCAAGGUAAUUUUAAUUGUGUUUGUCACUAUUGUACUUAACUUUAGUCUAUGAGUAUGAACUCAAAAUAUAGGAAAAUUUAGAAAUUGGAAAUCUACUAAACCAGACACUGGUCAAGAUAAACCAAACACCAUCUUCAAAUCCACUUUCUCUUGUUGGUGCAAAAGUUUCCUACAUUGAAAGCUUAGUCUAUGAGUAUGAACUCAAAAUAUAGGAAACUUUUAUGCAAAAUCAACCACUAAGUCUCAUUUUUUAUACUUUGUUUAUUUGUGUAGGAUACAUGACGAUGAUUUGUUGCUGGGCAGGUUUAUGGUUUGUUUUCAGCAUAGUGCAUUUGUCUGCGUGCUGCUUUUUGUGCUUGGCUGAAGCGAUAUUUGCUGUUAUUGAUUUUGCUCUAUGAGGGGUUGUUCUUGUGGACGAGUGCAUUUGUGUAAUUGAUGCAAAUGGAUGGUAAGCUGGUUUGUUUCAAUUUCUCACACUGAUUUCUAGUUUUCAUGAAUUUUUCUUUGCAUUGUUCUUAUCUUUUUUGAGCUUUUUAUGUCACAUACUUCAGGAACUGUUUGAUAAUUUUGGGGGAUCAAAAUGUUUUAUGAACAUUAUUAACAACUUAUACAUCUUUUUAUUUAUACGCAGUUUGUGUUUUACUAUUAUAACCCACAUGAGAUCAAAGUUCAAAGCAACUGAUACAUUAUUAGCCUCUAGUUCAUGUAUUCAAAUGAAUAGCCUCUAGGUCCCCUUGACUUAAACAUAUAUGGUCAAUAACUGUGUUCAGGUUCACCUCUAUUAUUGGAAUUGGGUGAUUUUAUGAUUUUGUUCAUUUUUCUGCAUUUAGGUAUCAAUCAUAGGAAAAGGGAUAUUAUGUUUUAAUUUGUAUGGAUAAGUUGGCAUAGUUGAUCAUGAUAUUAGUAGUCAAGCUUGUUUCUUGUAUAUGCAUGUCCUUAUUGAUGUAUUAUUCCAUGUCCAAAUUCUUUUGACUUGAUCUCUGUUGAGAAUUGGCGUAUGAUGUGCUAGUGAAUGAGUAAAUUGAUCUGCAGUCACGAGAGAAUCACAAAUUGUAGAUGUUACACAUUGGUAGAGUUAAAGAAUGAUAUUGCUCCUGAUCUUAAAGAAGAUGACAUCUCAUUUUGCACCCUGAUUUUGAGGGACUUCUUGAAAACAUGAAAGAUGCUUGCUUGGUUUGGCAAUUGGCAGAGGAUUUGCUUAGGUUGAUUGGUUUGUCUUGUUAUAAUUAGUGUCAUGAACAUCAUCUAGGGGAUUAGGAUAAUUAGUUUGUUUUUGUCUUGGACACAAAAUUGUCAUGCUUCUUUGUUUGUUUUGUGAAGGAUGGGAGACUCAUGUAAUUUGAUAGUACUUAUUGGCCUUCUUUGUGCCUUUUUAUAUCUUUAUUAA